ACACUGCAAAGAUACCAGCCAUUUUUUUGUGUCUAAGCUCCAUUUACAACUGAAGGGAAACCUCUUCAUCUUGUCAUCACUCCCUGAUAAUCAUUGAUUUUCUCAGGACAGCUGGUUUUGAUGUUGUGAUAUCUUAUUGUUCAUUUUCCUGAUCUAUUAGAUGUGUCAGUCACAGCUGGAUGUGUAGAAGAAAUGCACCAGCUGACUUCUAAACACACUGACUCAGUAAGCAGCAUCGAAAUUACAAGAAGUCAAGUUUUAACUAUUUUGUUUACCACUUAAAUGCAGAUUUUAUUUCUACUCACUUUGCUACUUUGCAAGACUUUUGGUAUGAACUUAAACAAACAUGAAAAUCAUGUUCUUUAACAGUAUGUUAAAGGUGCUUAUAUGUUAAAAGUGCUCACCACAAAGCAGACACUUCUUUGUUGGGCAACCAGCACACCUUUUUCAUGUUGUCUGUGUGUCCUCACCCGCCCCAACCUAUUUAGGUCAAUACAAGCAACUUCAGAGGAAGUCACUGCCUGGUUAUAAGGCUACAGCUUUGGAGUGCAGAGGACAGACUAUAUGAGGAAAACAAAAUCACUUCUGAGCCGUCAACAAGCAGUGGAUACUUUCUGAAUAUCACGCUGGGUAUCUACCCAUAUCAAUGGUAUUCAAUCCGUCUACUUUGGAAAUCAAAGCCGAUCACUGAACUCGGUCCCUUUGCCAAAGGAUAUACUGCUUUGUGUGGAUACCUGCCUGAGGCGAGGUACCUGACUGCAUCCUUCAUGGCACACCAGAUCCAUCUGCACUUCAUUUUCCACAGUGAAUCUGGGAGCUUGGAUGCAAACCUUUUCAGAGUGUGAAGGUGUCGUUGCAGAGGACUGAUCCGCCAACAUGGUGCCCCUGAGGCACCAGAAGGUAGCUGAGCUGACAGGAGUGGGACUACAGCUACAUUAAAGGGGGGAAAAUUAGCAGGAGGAGAUCAGAGGAAGAUAAGCGAGGAGCGAGCCGCUUCCCCGAGACCUUCCACUGCGGAUCCGAGAGAGAACAUCAGACGCGUUAAAAAAAAGCAAAACAAACCAAAACAAAAAAAGCCAAACAAACAAAACAAAACACAGCGUUCAAGCCAGCACAAGGCGAGCGAAAGAUCAAAAAGACUCGGAGAGAGAGAGGGAGACAGAUUAACUGGAGCAGCAGCAGCAGCAAUAACAACAACAAAAAUCACACUUAAAAUAAUAAUAACAAUAAUAAUAAUAAUAAAACCCAAACCACCAACAAGGAGAUAUUGUUUAAAAAGAGCGAGCGAGAGAGCGAGCUGAAGAGCUGGUCUGACCGAGUGGAUCCGUGCAGCUUCUCCUUCUGGGAUCGCCGGGAUCGAGCCGAUUCCCGGCUCCGCGGCAGCGCAGCGUGCGCCGUGCCCUGCCCGCGCCGGGAGCCGCGCAGCAUCCUCGCCGGACUCCAAACCCUCCGCGCUGCCUUGAAAAUAAAAGCAUCUCGCUGAUAAUAAGCGGAGUGUUG
rnacentral:lncRNA from 14 species